CCUACGGGGGGCAGCAGUGAGGAAUAUUGGUCAAUGGGCGCGAGCCUGAACCAGCCAAGUAGCGUGAAGGAUGACUGCCCUACGGGUUGUAAACUUCUUUUAUAAAGGAAUAAAGUGAGGCACGUGUGCCUUUUUGUAUGUACUUGAUGAAUAAGGAUCGGCUAACUCCGUGCCAGCAGCCGCGGUAAUACGGAGGAUCCGAGCGUUAUCCGGAUUUAUUGGGUUUAAAGGGAGCGUAGAUGGGUUGUUAAGUCAGUUGUGAAAGGUUGCGGCUCAACCGUAAAAUUGCAAUUGAUACUGGCAGUCUUGAGUACGGUUGAGGUAGGCGGAAUUCGUGGUGUAGCGGUGAAAUGCUUAGAUAUCGCGAAGAACUCCGAUUGCGAAGGCAGCUUACUAAACUGCCACUGACAUUGAGGCUCGAAAGUGUGGGUAUCGAACAGGAUUAGAUACCCUAGUAGUC
rnacentral:rRNA from 1 species